rnacentral:lncRNA from 1 species
AAGAAACUGAAAGCUGGAGAACCGCUGGGCAGAGAUGUAGAGGAUGUCUCUAGUGGUCUCCAAGUCAGCACUAGCCAGAGAUGACGGCUAUGGACGUCAGAUUGUCUCCAAGAGAAGUGAAUCUUCCUCCUGGAUUUUCUGGAAACUGGUCUGUAACAGAACCUUGCAGCCUCCACUUACACCUUUUAGGAAUGCUAUGCUGAGAUCAUCUUGUGAGGAAGCUGGUCUAGCCUACUGGAGGAUGAGCAAAGUUGCAUAGAAGAUCCCGGCAUCCAGACGGAUGGCACCAACUCCAGAUGCAUCCACUUUCUAUCCUUCUCCACUCUGCUCUCUGUCCAGGAAGGCUGAUCUCUAUGGACUACCUCAGUAGAUCCCAUUCAGAUGUCACACCAUCCCUGCAUCUCUGGAAUGAAUCCCACCUGAUCAUGAU